rnacentral:rRNA from 1 species
UACGGGGGGGGCAAGCGUUGUUCGGAAUUACUGGGCGUAAAGGGCGCGUAGGCGGCCUGCUAAGUCGAACGUGAAAUCCCUGGGCUCAACCCAGGAACUGCGUCCGAUACUGGUUGGCUUGAAUCCGGGAGAGGGACGUGGAAUUCCAGGUGUAGCGGUGAAAUGCGUAGAUAUCUGGAGGAACACCGGUGGCGAAGGCGGAUCUCUGGGCCAUUACUGACGCUGAGGAGCGAAAGCGUGGGGAGCGAACAGG